rfam:Picea glauca, whole genome shotgun sequence.
CCUUAUGUACAUGCCUGCAACAUAGUGCUAAUACACUGGAUCCCAUUAGAACUCCAUAGUUAAGCAUAUUUGGGAUAGAGUAGUAUUAGGAUGGAUGACUUCCUGAGAAAUCCUAGUUUUUUAAAUGC